rnacentral:lncRNA from 1 species
UUCUUUCGUCAUUGCAUUUAUUGCUGAAGGUUUGUAUAAAGAUAAUAGCAGCUGUACAAUACCAUAUAAACACAUCGGCAAUCUUAACUGAGGCCUGAGAGGGAUGACCUGCAACAACUCAUUCUCAUUGGCCAGCCUAAUAAAGGGGAGGGGCACCACAGCAUAGAUAUACAGCACUAGAGUAGGGUGAUGUUACCCAGAAACACUAAUCUAGGGUCAGUUUAAUGUUUUCCCCUUAUGGUUAAAGUUAGGAUUUGGGGAGCGUAAGCUGAUCCCAGAUCUGUGCUUCAGGUAAAUCACUUUUCAGAGCCACAGUACGCCCGAGAGCUCUUAGAACGAGAGAAAUAACACAGAAAACCCCCACAAUAACACAAUAAAAAAAACACUAGACAAAAACAUUCAUCUUUAUUGUAUAGUCUACUGUUUACCCAGCAUUUUCUUAGAAGCAGAGAUGGGAAGUAUUUAAAAUACUUCUGAGAAUUGGGUAAUUUGUAUUACACUGGACUGAACUACUCUCCAAUGGGUUUUUAACAAGAUCCUUUAGAAAGCUGUAAUUUGUAUUUUCAAAAUACUUUUUUUUGUUAUAGCGGUUCACCAUUUUGUGGUCCCCUAUCACUCUGCAUUGGUAUCAGAAGUCUGAUGGCACUAUGGGGUGAUAAGAGCAUCUGCUAAAUUAGCUAAAUAUAAAUGUGUAUGUAAAAAUGGACAAUUGCAAAGCAAGCUGAGUGUUAUGUGAACAAGCUCUGCCCCAAAACAAGGUUUGUCUAGAAGGGAUACAGCUUUUGUGAAAAUUGACAUUUGUAGCAGGUUUCAGAGAAUUUACGCAAGCAGGUUAGGAGAAUUAACGUAGCAGUUUAGGAGAAUUAACGUAGCAGGUUAGGAGAAUUAACGUAGCAGGUUAGGAGAAUUAACGUAGCAGGCUAGGAGAAUUAACGUAGUAUGAUUAGGAGAAUUAACGUAGCAGGUUAGGAGAAUUUACGUAGCAGGUUAGGAGAAUUAACGUAGCAGGUUAGGAGAAUUUACGCAAGCAGGUUAGGAGAAUUAAUGUAGCAGGUUAGGAGAAUUAACGUAGCAGGUUAGGAGAAUUAACGUAGCAGGUUAGGAGAAUUAACGUAGCAGGUUAGGAGAAUUAACGUAGCAGGUUAGGAGAAUUAACAUAGCAGGUUAGGAGAAUUUAGGUAAGGAGGUUAGGAGAAUUAACGUAGCAGGUUAGGAGAAUUAACGUAGCAGGUUAGGAGAAUUAACGUAGCAGGUUUGGAGAAUUUACGCAAUUAGGUUAGGAGAAUUAACGUAGAAGGUUUAGGAGAAUUUACGCAAGCAGGUUAGGAGAAUUAACAUAGCAGGUUAGGAGAAUUAACGUAGCAGGUUAGGAGAAUUAACGUAGCAGGUUAGGAGAAUUAACGUAGCAGGUUAGGAGAAUUAACGUAGCAGGUUUGGAGAAUUUACGCAAGCAGGUUAGGAGAAUUAACGUAGCAGGUUAGGAGAAUUAACGUAGCAGGUUAGGAGAAUUAACAUAGCAGGUUAGGAGAAUUUAGGUAAGGAGGUUAGGAGAAUUAACGUAGCAGGUUAGGAGAAUUAACGUAGCAGGUUAGGAGAAUUAACGUAGCAGGUUUGGAGAAUUUACGCAAGCAGGUUAGGAGAAUUAACGUAGCAGGUUAGGAGAAUUAACGUAGCAGGUUAGGAGAAUUAACGUAGCAGGUUAGGAGAAUUUAGGUAAGGAGGUUAGGAGAAUUAACGUAGCAGGUUAGGAGAAUUAACGUAGCAGGUUAGGAGAAUUAACGUAGCAGGUUUGGAGAAUUUACGCAAUUAGGUUAGGAGAAUUAACAUAGAAG